rnacentral:rRNA from 1 species
GCGUGGAUGAUGAAGGCCCUAGGGUUGUAAAGUCCUUUCGACGGGGAAGAUAAUGACGGUACCCGUAGAAGAAGCCCCGGCUAACUUCGUGCCAGCAGCCGCGGUAAUACGAAGGGGGCUAGCGUUGCUCGGAAUCACUGGGCGUAAAGCGCACGUAGGCGGACUCCUAAGUCAGAGGUGAAAUCCUGGAGCUCAACUCCAGAACUGCCUUUGAUACUGGGAGCCUUGAGUUCGGGAGAGGUGAGUGGAACUGCGAGUGUAGAGGUGAAAUUCGU